ensembl:lncRNA
GAACAAUAAUGACAACCAUGGGGCUGUUUUAUGCCGUCGAGCAGAGGGAAGGGAUGAGAAUGUGGGCAUUGGACUUAAUAACUUCAUAGAUAAAAUCCAUGUUUAUUUUCUAAACAGAGUGCCAGCUUUCUGCAAGAGCCACUGCUGUAGUCUGGGAAGCGAAUUGGUCUUUCUUUCAUAGCUCCUAUUGAUUCAGUUUUAGCUGCUGCUGCUGGAAAGAAAAAAAAAAGACAGCAGCUGGUGACCUUGGAUGCACAGACUGAAAAGAAUUAGGAAUAAUAUUCACAGUUUCAGAGAGCGCUUACACACCUGGCGGCAGCUCUCGCAGACAUGGCUUUUGUUCACAUUCCUAUUGGGAUGUGCAGUUGCUGUACGCUUGACGAAAGGUCAUAUUUGAUCAUUUGGCCUAUUAAGGCCAAACAAAGGCCUGGGCAGGUGUUUCAGUUUAAUGCGAGCCAGGACGAGCAAUAAUGCGUCUGCGGCGCUGACAGCCAGCUAUAAGACAACCGAAACGAGGCUGAAAACCAGGCGUAUUUGUAACAUCCACUUAAUUGAACACAAGCAAGCAGAGGCAGCAAAGGUGAAUCAGGUGAAAGCCACUGAAAUGCCACGCCACCUAUUCUGUCCUUUCAGAAUUCACUCUUCACUGACCCGCCAAGAGAAAAUUUCAUCAAUAAAAGUAAAAAUAACACAUGUUCAGCCAGUUUUUUUCCAUCCAGCCUUAUUGAAUCGUUCUCCAAUUUUCUCUGUGCCCAUGAGGGAGAAAAACAUGCUCUAACUGGAGCUGCAGCAAUUUAAGACAUACAGUCAACUUCUGACUUGACUUGCUGACUUCCUUCGAGUCAAACACUAAAAACGGCUAUGUUUACUGUGCUCUGCUACUUUGGGUAAUAUGGGCAUGUAGACUAUUAAAUGUGAUUCUUUUUCUCCCCAGUAACCAAGGUUCAGAUAAGAUAAACUUUAUUGAUCCCACAGUGGGGAAAGUUCACCAUUACAGCAGCUCCAAGGAGAAAAAUGUUUCUAUUCCAGAGCUGGGUUAGUUUACCCAGAAGGCUGUGCAGUAAAAAGAUUCAGCCUUUCACCAGCAACACUUGCCACCGUGUUGUCACAAUCACACACUGCACCUCGAUUUACAUCAUUUUUAUUUUAUUAUUCUGUGUAAUUGCUCUGAUUUCCCCCCUCUGGUAUUCUAAAACACAACCACCACUCAUAAAUAGCCUCUUGGCAUGAUGAGGGUCAAGGCCUUGGAUUUCUCCAUUGUGCAGUCUGAUUAGAAUUUAUUCAUGUAGUGUAUUGACCGUUUGCUAUUUACUGAUUAGGGGGCAACGGUGUGAGCUUGAACUUUGAAUUAAGAUCAUCAAAUCACGUCUGCUCCCUGUCACCGGUGGCCAGAUAUCGGUCUCGCCUUGAGAGCAUUCGGUUCCACUCGUCUUGUCAGUUUGUUCUCAGGACAGUGAUUUGCAGUGACGGACGGGGCGACGCCUGGAAGAGCACGGCGACACGAGCAACUCAUCAGGACUUUCUUAUUGGAGCGCCGGCUGCCAGGUCCGGCAGACAAAUGGCAGCUAUGGUUCCUAAAUCUGACAGGCGAAAUCAAGAAUUGGACAUCCCGGUCCACAAAGUGCUUCCUAAAAAUGUGUUUAUCUCCUCAGCUGGCAAACUACACACUUUUCAGAUUCAGAUUACACUUUAAUAGAUGAGGUUGGGGUGUUUUGUUUAUGCAAGCAGGUAUUUUAAGUAUUCUGACCUAUUUUCUUGGGUCUUUUUAUAGGAUGGAGGUUUCUCACCACCUCAGAUGAACUACUUCCAGAAGUUAUUACCAGAGGGGGCAAACAUUCCCACUCCGACUACAGUUAAUAACGUAAUUAUUUGUGGAAAACACAGUAACUCCUGUUAUUGAAAGUGAUAGUUCAUGUCGUCAAUUACAAAAUGUGCUUUUCGACAUCAGGUCUGAGGGAAAAUUAAAGUCGAGCACUGAGAGAACACACAGACAAGACAUGAGUGGCAGGUUGAAGAGGAUACUUGACACACAGAGGGAAUCUGUGACAGAAAUAAUCUGCCAGACAUUUCAAUCAUCUCAGUUUCCUUCGUGUGUCUUUUUCUUUGUUUGCUCACAGAGCUGUGUUGACAAUAACAGCUACCCAAGCGGAACGACUAUCAGAAGGUAGCUCUCGUGGCUUUGUGUGUUGACACGAAGAGACGAGGCAAUAACUCAUCACUUGUCAUGUCUGUAAAAUGUCGGUGGUGGGGAAGGCUGCCGAGAGAGACAAGUUCUAUAUUAAACCUCUUAGGUUUGCUCGCCACAAAGAACAUCCAUCGCGCUCAUGUCCAGGUAAUGGCAGGUGAGCCGUUCAAUCGGGCCAGAGGUGAACAUUAAAGCUCUAGACGAGCAAAAUUCCCGUUUUGGGAUGAUCCUGUCAGAUUCAGAGUGGUGGCCUGUGUGUUUUACCUGUUUGUUCAGAGCAUUGGAUGGACUCUUUCUUCCCCUCAUGAGUCAGAUAUCCAGGUACAUGCAAACCACAUAGACCAGGGGUGUCAAAAAUGCGGCCCGCAGGCCAAAAGUGGCCAGAGGGUCCAGUCCGGUCCGUGGGACGACUUUUCAAAGUGUAAAAGUUACAGAAAAAACAUCAACUGCAAAUUGUAAAUUUGUAAAACUGAAAAUUUUAAAUAAUUUCUAGACCAGCUGUUUUGAUCAUUAAGUAAAACACUAGAUUCCUCAUUGUUCUUGUGUCAUUUGGUCUAAUUUUUUUAAAAUUUUGUCUUCUUGUUUUUUGUCUUUUUUUGUCACACUUUUGUGGUUUCUCUCAUGUUUUCGUCAUUUUGUUUCCUUUUUGUCUCACUUGUAUUUUGCUUUAUUUGUUGUUUUGUGUGUUGUUUUUGUCGUGUUUCUUUUUUGGUCAUUUUUUGUCUCAUUUUUGUAGUAUUUUGUCUUGUUUUUGCAGUUUUUUGUCUUUUUUUGAUCAUAAAGUAAAAUAUAUUGUUUGUUUCAGAUACCUGAGACUAAAUGUUUUGUUCCUUUGGAGACACUGGAAGUUAUAACGUGUAAAUGAUAAAUUGAGACUUAAUGUUGUUGAAAUUGAACUUAUUUCUCUUAACAAAUUUCAGGCUGUUCAUGUUUUUUAAAAACAGAAUUCCUUAAAUAUGAACAUUUUCAGAAUGUACUUUUUUGCACUGAAGGAAAAAUUUGGAGUUGUGGGUAUUUAUAGAUUAUUAUGCUUAGAUUUUACUGUUUUGGCCCAUUUGAGAUCACAUUAGACUGAAUGUGGCCCCUGAACUAAAAUGAGUUUGACAUCCCUGACGUAGACAGUUGCUGCUUUUCUGUGCAUAAGCUUCGAUAAAAAUCAAGCAGAUCCUCAAGUUUAAGGCGUUCAGAAGAAAUGUUUCUCACAGAUUCAGAUCCCACUUUUUUUCUGCAUAUCCAAAGGGAUUUAUACGACAAUUUUUGUACCUUUUUAAAGCAGACAAUUUGACAUUCACUCCUACUUUCCUCAGCAAUUGCCAGGUGUGCGGAGGUGUGACAGUAGGCAGUGUUUGAACUCUCUCAAGCUCCCUUUUCUCCUUCUUGACACAACCACUUCUAUCGGUUUCAAAUUGCAAUACUAGGUAAAUGCUUGCUUGA